rnacentral:rRNA from 1 species
UUGUCCUCGGUGCGCAGCAGUGGGGGAUAUUGCACAAUGGGGGGAACCCUGAUGCAGCGACGCCGCGUGGGUGAAGGAGCGUUUCGGCGCGUAAAGCCCUAUCGGCAGGGAAGAAGGAGGACGGGACCUGACUAAGAAGCCCUGGCUAACUACGUGCCAGCAGCCGCGGGAAUACGUAGGGGGGAAGCGUUAUCCGGAUUUACUGGGUGUAAAGGGGGCGCAGACGGCAGGG